UCCAUGUGUUUUUAUUUCAACUUAAACUGUGAUGUCGUUGAACUGACCGAACCCUAGCAAGAGAAAGCCCCGUUCCAUCAUCGUCUACUUCUCCGGUGGUCAGUGCUUCUAACCGUCGCUGGGAUCGGUCCGGUUUCUUCUCUGUUUAGGUCUCAAGGUUUCAAUUUUGGCAACACAAUAUUUUCCUAGAGUGUGGUUACGGAUCGGGGUUUGAGUAAAGGAAUCUAUGAUUAUGGUAUCGGAUCUUCUUCGUCCGUGCUCGGAUGGCAAAUCGAUGGUUUCUGUGCUCAUCGGCUUUUGUACAGGGUGAUUUUGUAUGGUGGGGUUCAGCAUCGUUGAAGUUAGGUGCUCAAGCAUGGGUUCGAACGCCUCCCCUUUUUGGAUGCUCUUAGGAUGUCUAGUUUUUGUUAUUGUUUUAGUCUGUGUCCCCAGGUCUGCUCUGUUGGGUUACUUUAUAAAUAUGAAGUUAUGACGGUUUGGGAUUUCUCGGGUUUCCUCAUCACUAUCUCGCCUUGAUAAGGUUCCUUUUUCAGAUUUAAAUUUUGUUUCUACUUCUUCCAUUAGAUUCGGUGAUGCUUUCAGGUGGGUCUUUGGUGGUUCUGCCAAUUCAGUUUCUUUUCUAUAUCCCAUGGUCAUCUUUGAUAAAGGGAUGGGUGGUGGCUACUUAGUGUCUUCGGUUUGGGUCUCCCGCCUGUGAUAUAAGGUUCUGUCAUCUGUUCACGGUGGCAUCAAAUAUUUUAUCGAAAUUGUCUUCAGUAAGGUUUUCUGGUUUUCUUAGUAUGGGACUGAGGAGUUUUAACUCAAUCGCGCUUGGUAUUUAAGUAGUUUAAUUGUCAGGCGUGUUCUUCGUUGGCUGCUCGGGUAGAAAUCCAUUUUCUUGUGGCUUCUUUUAGUUGAAUUUUGUUGUUAAGUGAUGGUUUCUUGUGGAUUUUUUCCGGAACUAUCUUGGAGCUCUUAUACCACGCCAAAUAAUUGGGACCUUCAAACGCCUUCUCAUUCAAACUAGCUUCCCUUAUCGACUUGAUUUGCAUUUUCGCUGAUUUUUUAUUAGCUCCAUGGGUUCUUAGUGAUCUUGUUCCUUCCUUGUUUCAUGUUAUGUUAGAUGCUUUCUAGGUUUCAUCCUUGG